GCACUGCUGACGAGACCCGACCAGGUGGAAACAGUUGUCCAGUGC
rfam:Echinostoma caproni strain Egypt genome assembly, scaffold: ECPE_contig0000042